rnacentral:rRNA from 1 species
GUGCCAGCAGCCGCGGUAAGACGUAGGUGGCGAACGUUAUCCGGAAUUAUUGGGCGUAAAGGGUGCGUAGAUGGCCUGACAAGUUAGCGGUGGGAAAUCGAGGCUCAACCUCGUGGAAGCUGGUAAUACUGUCAAGCUUGAGUACAGGAGAGGUUAACGGAACUCCAUGUGGAGCGGUAAAAUGCGUAGAUAUAUGGAAGAACAUCAAUAACGGCGAAGGCAGUUAACCAUUCUGCUACUGACAUUGAGGCACGAAAGCGUGGGGAGCAAAACGGAUUAGAUACCCGUGUAGUCC